rnacentral:rRNA from 1 species
UCUGCCUGGUAGUGGGGGAUAGCCCGGGGAAACCCGGAUUAAUACCGCAUACGCCCUACGGGGGAAAGGAGGGGAUCUUCGGACCUUGCGCUAUUGGAUGAGCCUAAGUCGGAUUACCUAGUUGGUGGGGUAAAGGCCUACCAAGGCGACGAUCCGUAGCUGGUCUGAGAGGAUGAUCAGCCACAUCGGGACUGAGACACGGCCCGAACUCCUACGGGAGGCAGCAGUGGGGAAUAUUGGACAAUGGGGGCAACCCUGAUCCAGCCAUGCCGCGUGUGUGAAGAAGGCUUUCGGGUUGUAAAGC